CAAUUCACAGCGGAACUGUAGUCUAUGGUGCCAACAGGACUAUAAAUCUGCAAGGGGCUAGAGUUCAGUCCUUUUUUCUCUGACAUGACAAUGAAGGAGAGUCGUGUUUAUUUUGUCGUCUGGAACUUUAAUCUCUCAAUUAAAGUCUCUUCAACUCUAUACAAUGUUUUGAAGGUGAGGACGUCUCAGUAGUGUUGGUGAAACUCCAUGAACAAGUUCUUUAAUGUGCAGUGAUGAGAGCCUAACUGAAAUAUUACUUUACAACUCCAUUGAAGACAACACAUCGGAUUGCUUUGGCGGGAUUUGAUGGCUUUAUUUAAAGGAUUGUUCCUAUCUGGACUCGAAUGGGGGUAUAUAGACUUCCGCAUCCUGCAGGUGACUCCCUAAACUCCAGGCCAGACCAAGUGCAAGGACUACUUGCCAACUACGGAAUGCUUCAACUAUUCAAGGAAUAAUGUAGAUGAGACUGGAGAUGCUUCGGCUGUUUUGGUGGCUUAUUUGGAGUCGAUGCAAGGGAAACCUGACUACGAACUAUUACUUUACCACGCCAUUGAAGGAAUAAUGGAGAUGCUUGGGCUGGAUUGAUAGUCGCUACAAGACAAAGCAUUGUGUUACUUCGACAGGAUUCGAUGGCUUGAUUUAAAGGACAACUUGCCAGCUAUGAUUUCAAGACAAAGGGGCGGCAGGUAGCCUAGUGGUUAAAGCGUUGGACUUGUAACCAUAAGGUUGCCAGAUCGAAUCCCUGAGCUGACAAGCUCCACAGGUUUGUUCCUGUCUGGAUUUGAAUGGGGUAUAGACUGAUGCAUCCUGCAGGUGAUUGGCAACACCAGACCACUUGGCUUGACCACCACUGGCAGGGUUCAGUGACGUGUGGAUCAAUGGGCAAUCCCUGUGGUUAUAUCUUUGGGUUUGGCAUAUUUAGGGUGGAAUAUUUUAUGACUGGGUUUAAUGAUUUAUAAGACACAAUGCUUUUUCUUGAGCAAAUCAGACAGGCUGAGAUUAUUUGGUAUUUUGGUCGGGUGCAGUUUAAUAUAAAUCCCCAGUCAGAGGGUUUAGUAAUUGCGGGUGAACAAAAGCUGACCUGCACUAGUUCAUAUGACCAACUGUUCUAUCCUGGGCAGUGGAGCAUUGCAUAAUCCUGACAUGUCAGUGUUUCUGAACAAAUGUACCACAAUGAAAUGAUUGUAUUACCUCAAUUGUGGGCCCAACUGUAUGUGAAAUGAUUUUCCAAUGGUGUAAAAUAAAAUUAUCCUUAUCAGUCAUGUCAUAAAUCCAUAACUGAUUGUUUAACUUUUUAAUAAAGACAAUGGCACAACA